rnacentral:pre_miRNA from 16 species
AAUGAAAUGGAACAGCAUGGAGCUUCAGCAAGGGUGCUUGACUUUAUAACCCGGCUUAAAUUAAUCGUGGUUGUAGAGUCAUGCACCUCUGCUGGCUCUCCUGCUUGGACAUUAUACU